rnacentral:rRNA from 1 species
GGCCCAGACUCCUACGGGAGGCAGCAGUAGGGAAUCUUCGGCAAUGGGGGCAACCCUGACCGAGCAACGCCGCGUGAGUGAAGAAGGUUUUCGGAUCGUAAAACUCUGUUGUUAGAGAAGAACGUUAAGUAGAGUGGAAAAUUACUUAAGUGACGGUAUCUAACCAGAAAGGGACGGCUAACUACGUGCCAGCAGCCGCGGUAAUACGUAGGUCCCAAGCGUUGUCCGGAUUUAUUGGGCGUAAAGCGAGCGCAGGUGGUUUCUUAAGUCUGAUGUAAAAGGCAGUGGCUCAACCAUUGUGUGCAUUGGAAACUGGGAGACUUGAGUGCAGGAGAGGAGAGUGGAAUUCCAUGUGUAGCGGUGAAAUGCGUAGAUAUAUGGAGGAACACCGGAGGCGAAAGCGGCUCUCUGGCCUGUAACUGACACUGAGGCUCGAAAGCGUGGGGAGCAAACAGGAUUAGAUACCCUGGUAGUCCACGCCGUAAACGAUGAGUGCUAGCUGUAGGGAGCUAUAAGUUCUCUGUAGCGCAGCUAACGCAUUAAGCACUCCGCCUGGGGAGUACGACCGCAAGGUUGAAACUCAAAGGAAUUGACGGGGGCCCGCACAAGCGGUGGAGCAUGUGGUUUAAUUCGAAGCAACGCGAAGAACCUUACCAGGUCUUGACAUACUCGUGCUAUCCUUAGAGAUAAGGAGUUCCUUCGGGACACGGGAUACAGGUGGUGCAUGGUUGUCGUCAGCUCGUGUCGUGAGAUGUUGGGUUAAGUCCCGCAACGAGCGCAACCCUUAUUACUAGUUGCCAUCAUUAAGUUGGGCACUCUAGUGAGACUGCCGGUGAUAAACCGGAGGAAGGUGGGGAUGACGUCAAAUCAUCAUGCCCCUUAUGACCUGGGCUACACACGUGCUACAAUGGAUGGUACAACGAGUCGCCAACCCGCGAGGGUGCGCUAAUCUCUUAAAACCAUUCUCAGUUCGGAUUGCAGGCUGCAACUCGCCUGCAUGAAGUCGGAAUCGCUAGUAAUCGCGGAUCAGCACGCCGCGGUGAAUACGUUCCCGGGCCUUGUACACACCGCCCGUCACACCACGGAAGUUGGGAGUACCCAAAGUAGGUUGCCUAACCGCAAGGAGGGCGCUUCCUAA